GCCGAGGUGGCGGAACUGGCAGACGCGCACGGUUUAGGACCGUGUACCGCAAGGUGUGCAGGUUCGACUCCUGUCCUCGGCA
rnacentral:tRNA from 4 species